GAUGAACGCUGGCGGCGUGCCUAAUACAUGCAAGUCGAGCGAACAGACGAGGAGCUUGCUCCUCUGACGUUAGCGGCGGACGGGUGAGUAACACGUGGAUAACCUACCUAUAAGACUGGGAUAACUUCGGGAAACCGGAGCUAAUACCGGAUAAUAUAUUGAACCGCAUGGUUCAAUAGUGAAAGACGGUUUUGCUGUCACUUAUAGAUGGAUCCGCGCCGCAUUAGCUACUUGGUAAGGUAACGGCUUACCAAGGCAACGAUGCGUAGCCGAGCUGAGAGGGUGGUCCGCCACACUGGAACUUAGACACGGUCCAGACUCCUACGGGAGGCAGCAGUAGGGAAUCUUCCGCAAUGGGCGAAAGCCUGACGGAGCAACGCCGCGUGAGUGAUGAAGGUCUUCGGAUCGUAAAACUCUGUUAUUAGGGAAGAAAAAAUGUGUAAUUAACUAUGCACGUCUUGACGGUACCUAAUCAGAAAGCCACGGCUAACUACGUG
rnacentral:rRNA from 1 species